rnacentral:tRNA from 1 species
GGAAGUAUACCCAAAUUGGCAAGGGACCGGUCUUGAAAACCGGCAGGUCGCGCAAGCGGCGUGUGAGUUCGAGUCUCACUGCUUCCG